GAAAUGCGAUACGUAGUGUGAAUUGCAGAAUUCAGUGAAUCAUCGAAUCUUUGAACGCACAUUGCGCCCUUUGGUAUUCCAAAGGGCAUGCCUGUUCGAGCGUCAUCUGUACCCUCAAGCACUGCUUGGUGUUGGGUGUUUGUCUCCCAGAGACUCGCCUUAAAAGUAUUGGCAGCCGGCCUACUGGUUCUGGAGCGCAGCACAAAUUGCGCUUCCUCCAGCGAGGCCUGCGUCCAUGAAGCUUACUUUCACGUUUGACCUCGGAUCAGGUAGGGAUACCCGCUGAACUUAA
rnacentral:misc_RNA from 1 species